rnacentral:pre_miRNA from 1 species
GUAGUAUUCCCUCCGUCCCAAAAUUCUUAUCUUACAUUUGUUUAGAUACAGAUGUAUCUAACACUAAAAUGUAACUAGAUACAUCCGUAUUUAGACAAAUUUAAGACAAGAAUUUUGGGACGGAGGGAGUACAAA